AAUAAUGAUGCUCAGCACUUCUACAGCAUUUAUUCCCUUUUACUGCAUAAAUAUUAAUUGUGAAUCUUCACAAAAGCCCCAAGGAAUAGAUUAAUACUAUUAUCUUUCUAUUUAGGGAAAUAGAAGCAGAGGUGAAAGACUAUGAAAAGGAAACAGAAGUACACAGAUGUACUUUUCAAAGCUUUUUAUAGCUUAUGAAAGGAUCACUACUCUGCAAGUUGAGGUAUGAACAUCCCCAUGUCAGUUUGUCUGCUCACUGUGUGAAGGGCGGUGCUGCAGCAUUUUCUGACUUAGAUUGUGAAUAGCAUUUGGGGCCAAACCUGCAGCACAAAAUGGCCAGGACAAGAGGCAGGAGAAACUUGGACUGCCAUAGGUACUUUAUAGACCAUGUACUGUGAGAAACAGUGGCUGUGCUGAUACCUUUGUAGACUUGUGGCUUCCAGCUCAUUGGGAACUUGGAAGUGAGUCUCUGCAGGUGGUUUUGCUGCCUGUGUUAGACGUCCACAUACUUUUGGGAAAAGUGCCUUCCCAGCAGGACCUGGUAAUUGGCUGUGAGUUUCCAGGAGUCAGUAAAAGCAGAAAAAAAGCCAAUCCUGAGCAGAACUGUGUUGCUCUGAGGUUUAGUGGAGGAAAGGCUGGGAAGCAUGAG
rnacentral:lncRNA from 1 species